rnacentral:rRNA from 1 species
CUCUGGGAUAAGCCUGGGAAACUGGGUCUAAUACUGGAUAUGACUUCUCACCGCAUGGUGGGGGGUGGAAAGAUUUAUUGGUCUUGGAUGGACUCGCGGCCUAUCAGCUUGUUGGUGAGGUAAUGGCUCACCAAGGCGACGACGGGUAGCCGGCCUGAGAGGGUGACCGGCCACACUGGGACUGAGACACGGCCCAGACUCCUACGGGAGGCAGCAGUGGGGAAUAUUGCACAAUGGGCGAAGCCUGAUGCAGCGACGCCGCGUGAGGGAUGACGGCCUUCGGGUUGUAAACCUCUUUCAGUAGGGAAGAAGCGAAAGUGACGGUACCUGCAGAAGAAGCGCCGGCUAACUACGUGCCAGCAGCCGCGGUAAUACGUAGGGCGCGAGCGUUAUCCGGAAUUAUUGGGCGUAAAGAGCUCGUAGGCGGUUUGUCGCGUCUGCCGUGAAAGUCCGGGGCUUAACCCCGGAUCUGCGGUGGGUACGGGCAGACUAGAGUGCAGUAGGGGAGACUGGAAUUCCUGGUGUAGCGGUGAAAUGCGCAGAUAUCAGGAGGAACACCGAUGGCGAAGGCAGGUCUCUGGGCUGUAACUGACGCUGAGGAGCGAAAGCAUGGGGAGCGAACAGGAUUAGAUACCCUGGUAGUCCAUGCCGUAAACGUUGGGCACUAGGUGUGGGGGACAUUCCACGUUUUCCGCGCCGUAGCUAACGCAUUAAGUGCCCCGCCUGGGGAGUACGGCCGCAAGGCUAAAACUCAAAGGAAUUGACGGGGGCCCGCACAAGCGGCGGAGCAUGCGGAUUAAUUCGAUGCAACGCGAAGAACCUUACCAAGGCUUGACAUGUUCCUGACCGCCGUAGAGAUACGGUUUCCCCUUUGGGGCAGGUUCACAGGUGGUGCAUGGUUGUCGUCAGCUCGUGUCGUGAGAUGUUGGGUUAAGUCCCGCAACGAGCGCAACCCUCGUUCCAUGUUGCCAGCACGUAGUGGUGGGGACUCAUGGGAGACUGCCGGGGUCAACUCGGAGGAAGGUGGGGACGACGUCAAAUCAUCAUGCCCCUUAUGUCUUGGGCUUCACGCAUGCUACAAUGGCCGGUACAAUGGGUUGCGAUACUGUGAGGUGGAGCUAAUCCCAAAAAGCCGGUCUCAGUUCGGAUUGGGGUCUGCAACUCGACCCCAUGAAGUCGGAGUCGCUAGUAAUCGCAGAUCAGCAACGCUGCGGUGAAUACGUUCCCGGGCCUUGUACACACCGCCCGUCAAGUCACGAAAGU